CCUACGGGAGGCAGCAGUGGGGAAUAUUGGGCAAUGGGCGCAAGCCUGACCCAGCAACGCCGCGUGAAGGAAGAAGGCUUUCGGGUUGUAAACUUCUUUUCUCAGGGACGAAGAAAGUGACGUUACCUGAGGAAUAAGCCACGGCUAACUACGUGCCAGCAGCCGCGGUAAUACGUAGGUGGCAAGCGUUAUCCGGAUUUACUGGGUGUAAAGGGCGUGUAGGCGGGACUGCACGUCAGAUGUGAAAACCACGGGCUCAACCUGGGGCCUGCAUUGGAACCUGUAGUUCUGGAGUGCUGGAGAGGCAGACGGAAUUCCUAGUGUAGCGGUGAAAUGCGUAGAUAUUAGGAGGAACACCAGUGGCGAAGGCGGUCUGCUGGACAGCAACUGACGCUGAGGCGCGAAAGCGUGGGGAGCAAACAGGAUUAGAUACCCGUGUAGUC
rnacentral:rRNA from 1 species